rnacentral:lncRNA from 1 species
UCAAGACGAGUUCCGCUGGAGAUUUCAACCUCCCGAAUUUACAUGAAAUUAAAAAAAAGGGUAAGAAUUAGUACAUCAAUAAACAAAUGAGGUAUGUAAGUACACCAAGUAAUAAAACGUAUGAUAGAAGAUGGAUAUUCCAAAUAAGUAAAUAUAUGUCCACCUUUAAAUACUCUACCAGGGAAAGCUUAAAAGUAUGACCUAACAUAAAAUACUAUCAACUAAAUAUAUCAGGGAGCAAAUAUAUAUAUAUCAACCUUUUAUAAAGUAAUUACACUUUCUUCCGUUUUUUUAAUUACUUUACUCUUUUUUCCUAUUAAUAUACAUAACAUAGCCGACAUAUAGAUAACAUUCUGUGUAUAUGCUAGAAUUUUUGUAAUAUGUUUAGGGAGUUGAGAUUUUUUAUAAUAUUAAAAAGAUAAAUGAUGUAUUUGUGUAAUUUUUAAAAAAUAUGAUCAAACUUUUAGCAACUAGUAGUCUACCCGUCUAUGUGAAUACUGGGCCUAGUACUACAGUUCGUACUUGUAAUAUUUCCAAUAUACUGCGAACUGCACCCAGAAGUUCCUCUACGCUUUGCAAUGAAUAUUAGCAUAUAAAAUAUGUCCCCAGAUUACCAAAAGAAAGCUUUUAGCUACUUAGCGGUCGUUUGGUAGGCCGUAUUAGAAAAAAUAAGCCAUGUAUCAAGUGUGAUAUUAAUUAAUAUUAUGUUUGGUAGAAUUUUGGAUCAAUGUAUUACUAAUACCAUGUAUUAGUUAUACACCCUACAUGGUAUUAGAGGGUGUACUACUAAUACAUCACAUAUGGUGGUAUUAGUAAUACAUGAGUUUUAAUAUCAUGAGAUUAGUAUGUGUAAAUACAAAAAUAUCUCUCAAAUUCUUUUAAACAUUUUUUAUUUUCUUAAUUUUAUUUUUUAUAUUUGUACUAAUAAAUUAGUUUACAAAUUUUAUUAUUAUUUACAAAAAUGUCCUCAAAUUUUUUUAAUUUUUUUUAAAAUCUUUUUCAAUUUAUUCAAUAUGAGUUACUUCUUUUCAAUUUAUUAAAAUAAUAAUAUCCGUUCAAAUAAUUUUAGUCAUAAAAAAACUAGUCCGUUAACUUAAAAAAUAUUUAUUUAUCAAAAUCCAAAAACAAAUUGCAUACAAGCUUUAAUUUUGUGAAUAGGAUAUUUAUAAAUAAAAAUAAUUUUUCUACUUAGUUUAACACUCUAUAGAAUACAAUUUUAUGUUAAUAAUAAUUUUAUUGUCUCAUCCAAAAGUUACACAUAUCUCCCUCCUACUUAAAAAUACCACAAAGUGGAAACAUCAACAAAAUAAUAAACAAAUAAAGAAAAAAGAUAAUUAAAAAAAUAUUUUUUGUAAGUGAAUGAUUAAAUCUUAAAAUUCUAAAGUAAAUAAUUAGUUAUAUUGUUAACUUUUUUUAUUUUAAAAAAAGAAUAAUAAAUUUUUGCAAAGAAAAUACACAAAGUUAUAAUAUGUCAAGGGUAUUUUUGUAACAAACAAUAUUGUUUUUAAAAUAUAACAAUACAUAUUGUUUUCAAUAUAUCAAACUAAACACUGCAUAAAAAAUAAUCUCAGUAUUACUAAUCUCUGCACAACUAAUCCUAAUAUUAUUAAUACAAUCUAUUCAGUAUUAUCUUAUACAUUAUAUCACACGACCCCUUAGAGUCCCAAGUUGAUAAAAAAAAAAUAAAAAUUAGCAAGGAUUCUUUGGAAGCAAUAGUUCAAAAAUAGACUAGAAAUCUCUAAAGAGGAAAACACAUCUUAAUAAAUAGGCAAAAUGAUCUUCUGAAUCUCUGUAUUAGUUUUGUAAGUUAGACACUUCUACUUGCAUGUUUGUCAUUUGGACUCUUGAACCUAUCAAAAAGCAAUAUUUUGCACCCUUUGACCGUUGACCUUACCUAUGUGGCAAGAUCAUGGGGACUAGGACAAAGAGAGUGUAGAUACAAGUGGGGAUCAAUUUUUGAUAAAUUUUACAUUAAAAUUUAAAAAAAAAAUAAAGAAAAGUCUUUUUUUUCCUCCAUCUUUUUAAAUUUAAUUUUUUUUAAAAAAUUUAAAAAUAUUUUUAAAAUUUUUUAAAAAAUUUAAAAAAAUUCCUUUUUUCCAUCACCUCUUUUAUAAAUCUAAAAAUUUUAAAAAGAUAAAAAUUUAUUUUUCCCUCCCUACCCUAGCCCCCGUUCCAGCCCCCAUACCCCACCCCACCCCAACACUCUUCCAUCCCUUUUUCCCUACACACGUUCACUUUUUAUAUUUUUAUUUUAAUUUUUCAUCUCAAUUUAAUUCUUUUUAUUUUUUAAUUAAAAUUUAAAUUUAAAUUGAAAGUGAGUGAUACUGAAUAUUGAAAAAAAUUAAUAAAUUUCGCUUGAAAAAAAUUAAAUUUUUUAUGAAUUUGUAAAAAAUAUUCAAAUUUAAAAAUAAAAAAUUUAUUAUAUUUGUAUAUAUGAAUUUGUACUUCAAAAUUUAAAUUAAUUGAAGAAAAUUUUAAUUAUUUCGAAUGAAUUUGAUGUUUAAUUUGUGAGAAAAAAUAAAAAUAUGAUUAUUUAAAAUUUCUACAAUUUAUAAAUUUUUCUUAUUUAAUUAAAUUAAUUUUAAUAUUUAAUUUGUUAUGUAACAUUUUAAAAAUAACAUGAAAUUUAAUAUAAUAUAUAUUUUUUUAAAAUGACAUGGCAAAUAACGUGACAGAUGUGGCAACUGACGUGAAGGAGAGUGUUACACUCACCAAAAAAAAGAUUUAAAAUAUUAUUUUUUAGUGAAUUUAGAGAUCCAGAUGAGAAGUAUAUGAGAAGAAGUGUCCAACUUACAAAACCGACAUAAUAUAAUAUAAGAGUCCAGAAGAUCUGCCUAAUAAAUAUGCAUCUCUUUAGUUCUGAUUUUGCAGAAAAUAACAUAAAAAUACAUGAAAAGUAAAUGGAUAAAUAAGUAAAAGGAUUUACUCUCUAUCUCGACCAGAACUUAGAAAAAGAAAAUAGCGCCGCUUUAAAGACUUUUAUCAACUCAAAACACACUAGGAUAGGUAUUCACAUCAAAAUUCAUCCCAAAUUAACCCCGGACGUCAAAACCAACACAACCUGUACAAUUUAAGACUAACUCUCAACCCAAAAAAUCUUACCUUGAAAGGCUAUAUUCAUAAAGAAAAUACAAAUUUGGCUCUAUAAAAGAACAUCUGAAACUUAAGCAAUCUCAUAACAGUUAAAUUCAAAAGAGGACAUCCCUUACCCUAUUAUUUAGGUGCAAAAUUUCUCAAAAUAAAGUCACAACUUCAAACCUCAUUAUUAUUCCGCGGUUAAACAACACAGCCCUAUAUUGUUCGCAACAAAGCAAAAGCAGAGAAGCAAAGUUUCGCAUAUUCCGUCAAACAACCACAUGUUAAACGGAUGAGGAUUGAACCAAAAUAAUAUCUUAAAUUUUAAUUUGUAGGGGACGAACGGAGAUGCCAACAUAACUUGAAACCAGAAUAAGUCACAUAUUUAUCAACAUAAGAGAAAAACCAACAGUUUUGUGACUUUUCUUGUCAAAAUUUUGUCCUCAUGGUGGUGAGAGUACCCCCUAUUUAUAUAAGUCCGGAUUUAAAACUACAAAUAAGGAAGCCAAUGGGCAAAUCGAAGAGGGGGAAACUGAAAUUCAAAAUUUGAAAGGAAGCAUUCCUCCCUAAAAUCUGGACGACCCUUAGAUCUUGAUGUCGAUUUGGAGAGCUGACGCUAUGGAGGAUAGGGUUACUGCUUUGUGAUGAGGGUGGAAAGAAGGAGGAAGAAGGGAGAGAUGAGAGAAGGGGAAGGAGGAGAGAGGGUACUGUUCUUGAUAAGAAAGAUGGAUAUGCCGAUGGGUUUGUGUACGUGUGAUUUGUAUAUUAGAUAGUCACGUGGAAAAAUCCAUAUUAUAGGCUGUUUUUGUUGACUCAAUUUUAGGUUGUUUGAUCGUUUGAUCGGCGGUUUAACAUAAACAUUCUAAAUAUAUUUAACGAGAGUUGAUUUAAAAUGUGAUUAUUUUUUGUCCGUUCGGUCUUCGGUCGAAAUGGUCCGGACUCACUUUAAAGGGAAGGGAGGAGAGAAAAUAACUAUGUAAAUAAAUAAAUAAUUAGAUAAAUCAAAUAAUUAUAUAUGUAACUGAAAAAUUUUGGAAUCCUCAUAUUGAAAAGCAGUCAGCAG